rnacentral:rRNA from 1 species
UACGGAGGGGGCGAGCGUUGUCCGCAGUUACUGGGCGUAAAGGGCGCGUAGGCGGCUUUGUAAGUUAGAGGUGAAAGCCCAGGGCUUAACCCUGGAAUUGCCUUUAAGACUGCAUCGCUAGAAUCGUGGAGAGGUGAGUGGAAUUCCGAGUGUAGAGGUGAAAUUCGUAGAUAUUCGGAAGAACACCAGUGGCGAAGGCGACUCACUGGACACGUAUUGACGCUGAGGUGCGAAAGCGUGGGGAGCAAACAGG